GUCAUUGUAGUUUAAAUAAAAAUGAGUAAUUUGUAAUUACUAGUUUAGAGUGGCU
rnacentral:tRNA from 1 species